UACGUAGGGUGCAAGCGUUAAUCGGAAUUACUGGGCGUAAAGCGUGCGCAGGCGGUUGUGCAAGACAGAUGUGAAAUCCCCGGGCUCAACCUGGGAACUGCAUUUGUGACUGCACGGCUGGAGUGCGGCAGAGGGGGAUGGAAUUCCGCGUGUAGCAGUGAAAUGCGUAGAUAUGCGGAGGAACACCGAUGGCGAAGGCAAUCCCCUGGGCCUGCACUGACGCUCAUGCACGAAAGCGUGGGGAGCAAACGGG
rnacentral:rRNA from 1 species